rnacentral:lncRNA from 1 species
AUUUCUCUGUGAAGAUUUCAUAACUUUUAACAUGAAUUAUUUGAUUGAAAUUUGUUUCAAUUCCUUCCAAAACAGUAUGUUUGUAGAUCUAUUUUGUAACUGAGACUGAAUAAAAUACAUGUUUUGUAAUUACAUAGUACAGUGAACAUCAUUUCUGAAACUACUGAGUUUUAUUUAUACUUGAAAGUUUACACGGCCUUCUGCUCUCAGUUAGCGAAGGACUGGUAGUUGAGUCAGUCUGCCGUAGGAUCUCACAGUUAAUCUCUUUAGUCUGAGUGGAGGGAUAAAUCUGGAUUUGAUCGCGUGCCUGCUCGAGCCAGUGCAGCCAUGUUCAGCACCUUGAAAACACUUUUUCGGCCCAAAACUGUGGCGGCAGUAGAUCAGAGCCCUAGAUCUCCGACACCAGUGCCUUCACCUGCACCUGCCCCAGCACCUGCUCCUCCGACAAAGGAGGAAAAGGCAUAUAAUAAUAUGAAUGUAAAUAUAAAUUAUAUAUUUAUUCAUAAAGAUAAAAUAAUAAUAGAAAUAGUGUUGUCAAACAAUUACGAUGUUAUAUGUUAUGUUUAUGUAUUAAAUAUAUUUAUAUAUAAUAUUAUAUUAUUAUACAUAACAAGUAUACACACACACACACACACACACAUAUAUUAUGUAAACAUGCGAUUAAUCAUUUUAAAGCACUAA